GGGGAGCCACGGAUGUCGAUCCCGUGCUGUGAGGACGGGAGACGAAACCCAAGUUCCAGUCGCCCGUGAAUGUUAAGGAGGUUUGGAACCAGAUCUAAACCUGAACUCCCUGGCUCAUACCCAUCUCUAGUCCUAUUCAUGUGCAGAUGAAUAAGGACAGGGAAAUAAUAAUGAAUUUACAAUGCAACUCCUUGAAUCUACCCUCAAAAUCAAGUUCAGCUGUUCCUUACUCCCUGAGACCUUAAUCCAGGAAAGCUUGUGCUUAAGUCCAGACUAUUCAGAAAAACACUUAAAUAUGCACUUCACUUGAAGCACAAAUUUCAGUUAUGUCCUGAAUAAGAGGCUGAAUAAAGAUGAGCUAGGAAAGAGGCAAAGUGGUGAGACUACUCUGUUUUUAUGUCCUGCCACUCACUGUGAGCUUCUCCCUCACUUGGUGGUAUUCUUUUUCGAAUGUUUAUAGUUAGCCCCAAUGACUUGGCUUGUGAUUUGAUUCAUAAACUGAAGCUCUACCAUGAACCUUUCUGGUUACUAAGCUCAAAUGAAGAGAUGUUCUUUCCAUCUUUCUGAAAAUCAUUACUUUCACAUCCUUCUCUAAAUGUGAGUGCAAAUACUCUGCUUUCAACCCUACAACACUGUAAAAAACAAAUCAGCUCCAUCACAUGGCAGAGUAACAUACCGCUUCAUAUCACAAAUCACAGUCACAUAAUGUUUGCCUGUCUUCUCAUUCAAUAAAACUUGACCUCAGCUUGGUCUAGGUAUUUGGAAAGAACUGUUAUAUAACUCAUAAUUGACUGAAGCAAACAGUUCAAUAAAAAAAUGUAAGAUGUGGAUGUGGAAUUCUAAUAGCUGGAUCCACAAAUUUAGAAACGGUUUAUAGCAACAAUGUAGAUUGAUUUCAAAUAUUCUGGUACAAUAUGCAUGCAGUAAAUAAGUAUUCUUCUUUGAGUGCUUGUUCAUGUCAAUUCCAAACAGGUGUGUGCGCAUCACAUGCAUGACAGCCAGAAGAUUUUUCCCCUAGCAAUAUCCAUAGGAUCAGCCUGGAUGCCCUCUGCAGUCGUGCCUUCAUGGUGCCCAUUAUAGGGCCCUGCCAACCCAACCCUGUCUCAGUUCCUUCUUACUGCCUGUAAUGGCUAGCUGGAACUCCCCGUUGCUCUUGCCUUAGAAGCAAGUGUUAGCAGUGUUUGUGUAUAUAGUUUGUUAAUGUUAGAUAGUGUAGUAGUUUUUUCCUUCGGGGGGGGGGGGUCUCCCCCACCAAUGUUUUUCCCUGGCACCGGGUUAUGUCUUGGUUUCUGGGCUUUAAACCAUGCUCGGACUGUGGCAGGUUUAUGCAAAAAGUGACCCACACACUUCAUGCUUGAAGUGUCUCAGCAAGGGGCAUCUUAGAGAAAGGUGCAAAAUCUGUAUAAGUUUUUGCCCCUGGACUCUUAAAGCUAGGAAGCAGUGCCUCCGAGUAUUGCUUAUGAAGACAGCACUUUGGCCUCAGUCAGAGCCGGGCGUAAGCGCCACACCCUUGGUGCUCCAGUAUUGUCCAUGCAUGAGCCGGUGCCAAAGAAGGACUCUGCUAGAGACCCUCAGCAUCACCAUGGCUCUGCCCACAGGCCCCAAAUGUUGCACUCCCCAGUGCCCCACAAAAGAAAAAAGGCUGACACAGGGCAACUGUGUCACCAACCAGUUGGCCAACACGCCCCCAUCGGGCACCCAUUUGGUGGGGAUUUCAUUGACUCCUGCCCCGAGAUGGGUCCAAUCGAGUCCGGACCAGCACCGCUCACCAGCACACCGCCACAAGGCCUCCAGCUCCCCUCCACACUGGAGGCAUUCGAGGCAGCAGUGGACCUUUUGGCACUUACAGUGCCACCCUCAC